UACGCAGGGUGCGAGCGUUGUCCGGAUUUAUUGGGCGUAAAGAGCUCGUAGGCGGUUUGUCGCGUCGGCCGUGAAAACCUGCAGCUUAACUGUGGGCGUGCGGUCGAUACGGGCAUCACUGGAGUUCGGCAGGGGAGACUGGAAUUCCUGGUGUAGCGGUGAAAUGCGCAGAUAUCAGGAGGAACACCGUGGCGAAGGCGGGCCACUGG
rnacentral:rRNA from 1 species